ACUCCUACGGGAGGCAGCAGUGGGGAAUCUUGCGCAAUGGGCGAAAGCCUGACGCAGCAACGCCGCGUGAGCGAAGACGGCCUUCGGGUUGUAAAGCUCUGUCAGGAGGGACGAAGCCACUCGGGUGAAUAGCCCAGAGGGUGACGGUACCUCCAGAGGAAGCCCCGGCUAACUACGUGCCAGCAGCCGCGGUAAUACGUAGGGGGCGAGCGUUGUCCGGAAUCAUUGGGCGUAAAGCGCGUGUAGGCGGCCGACCAAGUCCGAUGUGAAAGCUCGGGGCUCAACCCCGAGUCUGCAUUGGAAACUGAUCGGCUAGAGUCCGGAAGAGGAGACUGGAAUUCCUGGUGUAGCGGUGAAAUGCGCAGAUAUCAGGAAGAACACCGGUGGCGAAGGCGGGUCUCUGGGACGGUACUGACGCUGAGACGCGAAAGCGUGGGGAGCAAACAGGAUUAGAUACCCUGGUAGUCCACGCCGUAAACGAUGGGCACUAGGUGUGGGAGGUGUCGACUCCUUCCGUGCCGUAGCUAACGCAUUAAGUGCCCCGCCUGGGGAGUACGGCCGCAAGGCUAAAACUCAAAGGAAUUGACGG
rnacentral:rRNA from 1 species